rnacentral:rRNA from 1 species
AGAGUUUGAUCCUGGCUCAGAUUGAACGCUGGCGGCAUGCUUUACACAUGCAAGUCGAACGGUAACAUGGGUGCUUGCACCUGAUGACGAGUGGCGAACGGGUGAGUAAUGCAUCGGAACGUGCCUAUAAGAGGGGGAUAGCCCGGCGAAAGCCGGAUUAAUACCGCAUAAUACCUGAGGGUUAAAGUGGGGGACCGUAA